UACUUAAAAACAAUUUGGCUAAGAUUUUUUAAAUGGUUAUAUAUUUUCCACACAGGGUCUAAACGUGGGGAAGAAUGUUAACCCAGAUACCACCGUGGUUUCCAGAAGACAGGGACCGGGUCACGCGUUUACCUGUCUUCUGUGUCAGCACCUUAAAAUCUGUUUCUUUUUAAAAUCGGAAUCAAACUCGCUGUCUCCCAUGAGGACCCCUGGAGCUCUCUAGAAGCCACGGAGUCUGACGUGGCACGUGCAGGAUUUCAUGGCAAAGAGCCAACGGUUCCCAAAUCCGUCCCACCCUCUCCGAGCCACGUCCCAGCCCACCUCCACCCCGCACGCCCGCCCCCAGCCGCGCCCACUCAUGGCUGCAUGGACGUCCCUGCGCUCUCACGGCGCCGAGCCCUGCGGGCUGGUGACACCUGUCAUUCCUGAAGCCCAGCUCAUCUGCCGGCUCCAGAUGAACUGACUUUUCCAUCACCUAAGCCACAUACGCAGGUUGCAAGAAAGCAAGAGAGGCGCGGUGCCGGUCAGUGUUCAGUAGACAAAAGAUCCGCAGGGAGAAGUCAAAGCCGCGUCCGCGCUAGUCUCCUGCGGCCACGCUCAACCUCGGGCUGACCUGCGUGACUCAGGGUUCACAGGAGAACCGGGCAUGCGGAUGACACUAAGUGAAAACAGUCUUUUCCUUUUCUUGAAAACUCAGGAGAACAAAGGGGUUCUGGGGAUUUGAACAGCUCCCAAUUAAAAAAUAAUAAAAAAUAAUUUUCCAUAGUUCCAAAAAUUAUUAGCACUUAGCACUGGCGAUCGGUAUCUUACCACCCACUCCAAGCCCUGAACCCCCGGACGACCAGGCAGAGUGGAGUCACCGCCUCAAGUCAAGCGGCUUCCCACCCCACAAUGAUGAAGCCAUGGGAAUUUCUCUAGGGAACGUCUUUUAGGAAAAAACAAAAAAGGCAGCAACUUCCUUGGCUCUUGGGUCUGUGCCUCAGCUCUCCGGGCCUGAGAGCGAGAGCUUGUCACAACCUGUGAGCCUGUCACAACCUGCAGAUCGGGAAGGAACAGCUGGUCCGCGAAUCCGCAUCUUGUUAGGUGGCAAUUUAAAAGGCACUAAGAAAAAUGUAAUUUCAUUGAGUAUAAACUCACCGUAUUGGAGGGAAAAAAAUCUUCCAAGCAAAUGCUUACAAUACCCGUAGGCAGGAAUAGGGAUUUUUGGAAAAAGGGAAAGGAAGUUGUGGCGGGUACUUCUCAGUGUCACGUUUCGGGGGACAAUCAGCCCGCGGUUGGUGACCGAGAGGGGCAGGUCCGGCCCUUUCAUUUGCUGUCACCGCCAUUCAGAGGGGGCCACCGCGGACGGGGCUCGCGGGCCCUCCCCGGCGACAGGCCCGUGCACGCCUCUCCGGGGCCGCCGCGUGCUUCGAAGUGGGUCAGGAUCCACCGACGCCGAACCCAGCACCCACCGCGACCCACCGAGGCUAUUCUCAGCCACACACCCGGGAGAAACGCAUCCGUAUGUUCACGAAGCCACACGCUGGAAUAUUCCUGGCAGGGCCGCCCACAUCAGCCCCACGCUGGGAACUACUACAGCACAGCGACAACGGACCGGCCGCCACUACACACGCCGCGGCGAACUCGCACGCGACAUCCAGGGAAGAGUCAGACACAGAGCAGAACGACUCCAUUCACAGACAGCACAGAAACGGCAACGCUGACUGAUGGGGUCAGAGGUCACUGGAAGAUUCGGGAGCUUCUGGGGUUCUGGCAACAUCCUUCCUCGACCCCCGUGCUGGGCGGAUGGUGCGUUUAGUUUGCCACAAGUCGGGGAGCCGUACGCACACGCACACUUUGCUGCGUGUGUGUUUUACUUCAAUGAAAAGUUAAGGAAAAUAAAAAAGCCAAUCCUGGCUGUGAACUCCCGACAGCAGCCCUUCCGUGGGUUUGAGUGGCCCGUCAGCGGGGACCUGUCUGUCCCAGGAGGGGACAGGCUGCUCCUCACCGCGGGUUCCCAGCUGGCUGCGACGGGACCACCGCAGGUGGCAACACCCACCCCGUGGCAGGAGCGGUGGCAGGAGGGCCACCUCCCCCCUUCACGUCACAGCCAGCUUCCCGGCUUCUCAGACUCACUUGUGUUGGGCUCAGGAGUGACGACCGAGAGCCGCAAUCAUC